GGCAGUGGUGGCUCAGUGGUUAAAGGCUCUGAGUUACUGAUCAGAAGGUCAGGAGUUCAAGCCCAGUACUGCCA